UCAUGGAUCUUAUUGUCACAUUCUGCAAGAUUGCUUGGAAUCUGGACCCCCUCCUCACUCAAGUAGCUAAACCAGUCAUCUCUCUGCUUCAGUUUUGUAGUCUGACUUACCUCCUACCACCCACUGCCCCCCAGCCCCUAUGUUAAGGAUAACUCUCGUGCCUUUGUUUCCAAACUCACAUGUUUGUCUUAGCUGCUUCUUUCUGCUUCUCUCAAACUCCUCUUAGGCACUGAUACCAGCUUUUGUUUGCUACCCCUUUAUGUGUAGUCCUCCAUGCAAACUGAACUUCCUUAGCCUUUAGACCACUUUAUUGGAUCCAGCCCUGUAAGAAGGUCACCUCUUCUACAAGCUUCAUGAACAUUGUCUUGGAGCAGAGACAGUUUUUUUCCUGACAGACAACUGGCAAAUGCUCGGGAUUAACAAAAGUAAUUUUUGCUUACCUUGGCCCAUGUCUACUUUUCUGUACCAUGAAAGUCUUCAGCUCCUGCUGCUCUGGUGGGCAAUGGCUCCCUUCAGUUUUCUUUAAAAAUUAUCUGCUGGCAAAGUUGUUUGUUUGCUCAAUUUCUUUAUACAGGGUGGGACGCGAUGUUGCCACUUCUACUUCAGCUUAUCUUGCUGACCUGCUGUGCAGAACGUGAGGGAUCUCUUAUCUCUCAGGCCACACUUAAACAGACCUACACAAAGAGGUGACUUUUCCUACAUACAGAUGAGGUUAAAUUUCACUUUGAAGAAAGUCUGUGACAAUUUUUCAAAGAGCUGUGCAUUAGGGACCCCAGAGUAGGAAAUCAAAGAAUCGGGAAUCAACCACUACAGAGGUCAAAACAUUCAGCAGAAGUGCUGAGAUUUCCUACUUGUGCAUCACCUUUCUUUCUGUCUGGAAUAUGGGUUUCUCAUAUGUUGGUUUUCUUUCAGUUGUCAGCUGUUUCAUCUGUUAGUUUAAAUGCCAUUCACAUCUGAUCCAGCACUUGUGUUUCAUAAAGGCAAACCUAAGAUACUGUCUGUGUUACUGAUGAUAUUAAAAUCGUGCAGACAUUUUCUGUAUAUUGCUGUUGUAAGUUAGAUUGGUUUGUCUGUUUUGCUGUACAUAACCAUCAGUUUCUGUGUCUUUAUGCAGGCACUCUGAACUUUUAGACAUGUUGAUAGGUGUUUCUAAGGUGUGCAUACAAAUACUUGUGUUUCUUGUAUUUUGGUGGUUAAAAGGUGGUUACACUAACACUUUGGAGCAGUAUUUCUUCCAUGGACUUGGCGUCACUGUAUUUAAGUUGUGCACAAAGGUUUUCCUCUCUUACUGAUUGCUUGGCUUCAGUGCAAUGCUGCAUGAUGAUCUACUGCGUCAGGAAGUGGGCAAACGAACAGUCCUUCAGAUACAAUGACAAGGUAGUUCUACCAUUUGGGUCUUCCAAAGGUGUUGCCCUAAGAUCCUCCAGCAAAGAAGACCAGAGACUUGGAGAAAGAGUAGGCACGAUGGGCUACACCUGCACUUCCCCCUGCUCUGAGCUUGGACCCACCUCCGACCCGGCUGGGCCAAUCUGGUGCCUCUGCUAUCACUAUUCAACAAGGGAAAUUAGUGGUACUUAAGGUGGGGAGGGGUCGUCGUAGCAAGCGGUGGAGUGGCAGCAGCAGCAGCGCCGAGAGUGCAGCCCUGCCCCUCGGAGGCGAGAGAAACGGCUGGAGUAAUCAGAAACUAGCUGACUGCACCUUCCCUCCCUUCGCAUCCCGUGCUGAGGAGGUAGACUGAACUUCAAAAUGGGAUCUUCUGAGCUUGAAAGGACAAUGAGUCCUGAGUGAUACAGGAUAAAGUUAAAUGACUCAGCAUGGACCACAUAGACGUGUAAUGUUUUGGAGAUGGACUGACUCACAUGUGAGGUGCCAGUUGGUACUAGGCUGCGUUGCAGCUAUAAAAAACAGCGAGAAGAACAAGAAAAUGUGAGGGUACAUCCAAAGAGGAAGGAGCACAGAUACACUCUCAAGAAUUGCAUAUUACUUUUUCCAGCCCAUUAACAGUUUCAUCAUUGGAUCUCCCCUAGCCGCCUGCCACGCUGCCCCACGACCCGCCGCCCUCCAUACAGGAACUUCCAUUUCCUUACAGUUAAACGGAUUCGUAUAAGUGAAGCUGCUAAAUGAGCAUUACCAAGUGAACAAAUGUUUAAAACUACCGACUUUCAUGGUGACCAUAUGCUCCACCUGUAGAAGAAUGACUGAAAAACAAAUAAAUCUAAUGACCCUUAGCUGCUUCUCCAAAUUAACUCUUCCCUAAUCUAAGAAGUCAUAAGUAGCGAUGGACCAGGAGACCUUUUUGCAGAGACAGCCACCAACAAGGGGUAGAGAAAGAUAACCAGGCGGUGAAGCCACUUGAAGAUAACAACAAAAGGAGUGCAUGUGCUGAAGCGAGCAGAAUCCAGGAGUUCAUCCAGUGGAUAACUGAGGAAGACUAUCAGACCCCUAGAGGAAGUAAACGACAGCCACAGCAACUGCAGACAUGAUAAAUAGAUGCAAUUUGGCAGUGAAAGACCGUGACAUAAUGAACUGUAAAGGUGUAAAAAUAAAUAGGCAUGUUUAUAGUAAAUAACCCCACUAAAAGUGUUGGAUGUUCACAUUUUGACAUAUAUAAAAAAGCAUACUUUAGUCUUUUGGCACACACGUUUGGUGGAAGGAUCCCCCCAGCAUCUGGCACCGCAUUAAAGAA